CAGUAGCCGCGGUAAUACGGAGGGGGCUAGCGUUGUUCGGAAUUACUGGGCGUAAAGCGCACGUAGGCGGCUUGGUAAGUUAGAGGUGAAAGCCUGGAGCUCAACUCCAGAAUUGCCUUUAAGACUGCCGAGCUAGCAGGUGAGAGAGGUAAGUGGAAUUCCGAGUGUAGAGGUGAAAUUCGUAGAUAUUCGGAAGAACACCAGUGGCGAAGGCGGCUUACUGGCUCAUACUGGACACUGGGGUGCGAAAGCGUGGGGAGCAAACAGGAUUAGAUACCCGGGUAGUCCUUGUCUCUUAUAC
rnacentral:rRNA from 1 species